rnacentral:rRNA from 1 species
AGAGUUUGAUCCUGGCUCAGGAUGAACGCUAGCGGCAGGCUUAAUACAUGCAAGUCGAGGGGCAGCAUGAGUGUAGCAAUACAUUUGAUGGCGACCGGCAAACGGGUGCGGAACACGUACAGAACCUUCCUUCGAGCGGGGAAUAGCCCAGAGAAAUUUGGAUUAAUACCCCAUAGCAUUAUGAAGUGGCAUCACUUUAUAAUUAAAGAUUUAUCACUUGAAGAUGGCUGUGCGGCUGAUUAGGUAGUUGGCGGGGUAACGGCCCACCAAGCCUGCGAUCAGUAACUGGUGUGAGAGCACGACCAGUCACACGGGCACUGAGACACGGGCCCGACUCCUACGGGAGGCAGCAGUAAGGAAUAUUGGUCAAUGGACGCAAGUCUGAACCAGCCAUGCCGCGUGGAGGAUGAAGGUCCUCUGGAUUGUAAACUUCUUUUAUCUGGGACGAAAAAAGAUCUUUCUAGAUCAACUGACGGUACCAGAUGAAUAAGCACCGGCUAACUCCGUGCCAGCAGCCGCGGUAAUACGGAGGGUGCGAGCGUUAUCCGGAUUCACUGGGUUUAAAGGGUGCGUAGGUGGAUUAGUAAGUCAGUGGUGAAAUCUCCGGGCUUAACCCGGAAACUGCCAUUGAUACUAUUAGUCUUGAAUACCGUGGAGGUCAGCGGAAUAUGUCAUGUAGCGGUGAAAUGCUUAGAUAUGACAUAGAACACCAAUUGCGAAGGCAGCUGGCUACACGAAUAUUGACACUCAGGCACGAAAGCGUGGGGAUCAAACAGGAUUAGAUACCCUGGUAGUCCACGCCCUAAACGAUGGAUACUCGAC